rnacentral:rRNA from 1 species
GUGGAUUAGUUACCCCAGUAGUCCACGCCGUAAACGAUGAUAACUAGCUGUCCGGGGACUUGGUCUUUGGGUGGCGCAGCUAACGCAUUAAGUUAUCCGCCUGGGGAGUACGGUCGCAAGAUUAAAACUCAAAGGAAUUGACGGGGGCCUGCACAAGCGGUGGAGCAUGUGGUUUAAUUCGAAGCAACGCGCAGAACCUUACCAGCGUUUGACAUGUCCGGACGACUUCGAGAGAUCGAUUUCUUCCCUUCGGGGACUGGAACACAGGUGCUGCACGGCUGUCGUCAACU